UUGGAAUUCGUACAGGUAUGCCUUUGAUUUCAUUGUUUUUUCUACAGUUUGAGCUUUCAAUUCUUUUCCUGUUUGGUUGCCGAGAAAAUUGAAGAGAAUUACUUGGUGAUUGUGUGUGUGAGAAUUGUAGAAUUAAUAACUCAUUUGAGCUAAAUGAGAUUUUGUUUCAUGUUUUGAGUCAGUUUAUAUAUGUGAAAUGGAGUUGUAUGCAUACUGUUACGUUUUUCUUUCUUUCUUUCUCCCCCCUUUCGUUUUGUUUUCUUGGCUACCAAACGGAAAAUAGUUGUGGUCUGUCUCUCGACGACUAAAGGGAGCCUCUUGGCCACCACCGUCGUAGAGUCUCUUUCAUUCGCAUCGAUGAUGUGAAGUUGUGGGUGAAACCAUUUUAUUUUAGAGUUUUUAUUUUUCUCUAUUUCCUUCUCACCUCUGUUUGGUUCUUUCUCUUUUUUUUUUUUUUGAAGAUCCAGAAGGUCUAUAGAUUUUGGGAUUAUCAUCAUUGAAGGAGAGAACUUAUACCAAAGAUCAUUGAAAGAGCUUGUUGAGUUUGUGAACGAGCGGGUUCAAGUUGAUGGAAUUGUAGAGUUUGUGAAGGAAAUGCUCAAUGGCGGGAGUUAGAGACAUUCUUUCUUCAUCAUCUCCAACCACCAACUGGAUCUCUCUUCUCCCAUGGUUGUCCAAUUACUUAAUGUAUUUAUUCUACUUAUUUAUCUCAUAUUUAUUCAUUUUCAUUUCUAGAUUUUUAUUUGAGGUUCUGAAACUCAUGAAGGCCAAAGUAAGCAAUUAGGUCCUCUGAGGCAGUCUUGAGCUGGGUAUGACACGCAUGAGGCAAGUGUGAAGGAUGAGGAAGAGAUAGAGCCUAUAAAAUGCAUGAGCUGGGAUACAAAGAAGCUUUGAGAAUCUAGGCCCCAAUACAUACAUGCAGUUGCUCAUACGGAAAAACUCCUAUAAUAAUAACAAGAUUGACUGGAAUGGUGCAUGAAUCAUGUCUCUUCAAUGUAUGCUUUCAAUUGUGCCAUUAAUGUUUUCAUAUAUAUAUAUAUAUAUUAUUCAUAUGUGUAUUGCCUAAAUGUUACAAAUCAAUAGAAAAUAGAAAGUUAGAAGUUGUACUCAUGACUAUGCCUUUUCCUAUUGAACUUUCUGUUUUAUGAACUUUGAAGCUUGUUUUAGCUUUUAGUAUACCAAUAAUACAUGACUUAUUUAUGUGAAGAUGAAUCAUAUAAUAGUUAAAGUUGGAAGUCAAAUGGUACAUAUAUGGUUCUUUUGCCUUUUAUUUUCUUAUAAAAAAAGAGUCAAACUUUUCAUUAAUGUUUGCUAAGUAGAUGAAGAGCAUUUUUAUUGUGUGUGUGUUAGUUAAGUAGAGCCAUGCUAAACUCUGGCUCUAGCAUGAGAUUUUUUUUUAAUCUCAGUUUUUCUCUGUUCUGCAGUAUGAUUUAAUUUUAGUUUAUCUUUCUUGAGAAAAGUGACUUGUUGAGACUUUAUUGUUUGUUGGGACUCGAUUAGAGCAUAAGCAACAAGAAUAUAAAAUUAUCUAACUAUUAAAUUUAGACUAUAGAUAAAUAUAUAAAAUCAUUAUGCCUUAAUAAAUUCUCUUUAUACAUUGCACAUCAAAGACCAAUAAUUAAACUUUAAAUUGAUAUUGUUUGUUAGACUAUAUUAAGUUUUUUUCAUUAUGUUGUCUUUCAUCAUAUAGUGAUUUUCAUAUUUUAUGUGUUUUCUUAGUACAUUUUAAUGGGCCACUUAGCAAAUCUAGUUCUCAUGCAUGUUACAAGUAAUAGAAAAGCUUGGUCUUCUAAACAAUUCUAAGUUUGAAUUGUUAAGGAUUUACUAGUACAGUAGUCUUUCGUGAUCAUUUCCUUUUCAAGACUUAAUCAUUGGCUAUAAAUGACUCAUAAUUUUAUAAGUGCUUGUAUUUUUUUUUGUUUUCUUCUUUGUCUGACUCACGUACUCAUAAAUGCUCUAUAUGAAUCUAAUUAUUGAUAGUAAGGGUUUAGCUACAACAAUGUAUUCUUGAGCACUUAAAUUUUUUCCAAAAUGGAUUGAUUAUCACUUAAAAUUCGAGGCUUGCUUAGAUUUCAUAAUUACAUGGUAAUAUUUUUUUAAUAUAUAUGUAUGCUUGACCAUAUUUUUUCUUCAAUUCCUCUGAAAUAAGGUAGCAUGUCAACUUGCAUUUAUUAUGAUUAUGGAGCAUUUAUUCCCAAUUUGGUCUCUCCUUAUGUAAGAGUUAUAAAUCUUUUUUAUGUAAUGAGAUAAA